rnacentral:lncRNA from 1 species
CGGCGGAUCGGCGGAGGGCGGCGGCGGAGGAGGGGUCGACGGGGCGGCGCGGGACGAUGGAGAGAGGGGAGUGGAAGGGGUUAGCGGAGAAGGUGGAUUUGAAGGAGGAGACUCGGGAAGGAGAAGGAGAAAGGGAGGAAAGGGAGAGGUGUGUGAGGUAAGAGGCCUGCGUUGGGAUCUUGACCUUGUUUGGAUGAUGAGCGAAGAGGUGUGAGAAUCUAAACUGUGUUGUUGUGGUUGAUAAGGGAGAGAAGGAGAGAGAUAGCGAGGCGAUUGGUAGAGAAGGAGAAGUGACAAUGGCGAGUGCUUCUUCUUCUUCUGUGGAUUUCGUUUCUGCGUCUACUACCACCUUCGAUUCCAUUUUUUGGGAUUAGAAGACAAGAGAAGAGAAGACUCUGUGUCUGUAGAGUGAGGACGAUAAGCUAUC